rnacentral:rRNA from 1 species
AAGAGACAGCAGCCGCCGCGGUAAUACGAAGGGGGCUAGCGUUGUUCGGAAUUACUGGGCGUAAAGCGCACGUAGGCGGAUCGAUCAGUCAGGGGUGAAAUCCCAGGGCUCAACCCUGGAACUGCCUUUGAUACUGUCGAUCUGGAGUAUGGAAGAGGUGAGUGGAAUUCCGAGUGUAGAGGUGAAAUUCGUAGAUAUUCGGAGGAACACCAGUGGCGAAGGCGGCUCACUGGUCCAUUACUGACGCUGAGGUGCGAAAGCGUGGGGAGCAAACAGGAUUAGAUACCCCCGUAGUCCCUGUCUCUUAUAA